AUUGAACGCUGGCGGCAGGCCUAACACAUGCAAGUCGAACGAGUGGCGGACGGGUGAGUAAUGUCUGGGAAACUGCCUGAUGGAGGGGGAUAACUACUGGAAACGGUAGCUAAUACCGCAUACCAUCGGAUGUGCCCAGAUGGGAUUAGCUAGUGGGUGGGGUAAAGGCUCACCUAGGCGACGAUCCCUAGCUGGUCUGCGAGGAUGACCGGCCAGACUGGAACUGAGACACGGUCCAGACUCCUACGGUAGGAAGCAGUGGGGAAUAUUGCACAAUGGGCGCGAGCCUGAUGCAGCCAUGCCGCGUGGAUGAAGAAGGCCUUCGGGUUGUAAAGUACUUUCAGCGGGGAUGCGUUACCCGCAGAAGAAGCACCGGCUAACUCCGUGCCAGCCGCCGCGGUAAUUC
rnacentral:rRNA from 1 species